rnacentral:rRNA from 1 species
CAACUUUCAACAACGGAUCUCUUGGCUCUCGCAUCGAUGAAGAACGCAGCGAAAUGCGAUAAGUAAUGUGAAUUGCAGAAUUCAGUGAAUCAUCGAAUCUUUGGACGCACCUUGCACUCCUUGGUAUUCCGAGGAGUAUGCCUGUUUGAGUGUCA